UGGCAGUGAUGACUCUCUUAGGACACCUUUGGAUUAAGCAAUGAAAAUAAUUACUACCUGAGCCAU
rfam:Monodelphis domestica chromosome 3, whole genome shotgun sequence.